rnacentral:SRP_RNA from 1 species
CUGCGCUAGGUGGGGAGCUUGCGGUGCCCUAUUCCUGCAAUCCGCAACAGCAGGGCUGAAUGCUGAUCGCGGUUCUGGCUAUGUGAGGUCUGCCUCAAAUAAGUGAUGUUGAUAUCAAGGUCUUGUGCAAUCAUCCCCUGUGAACCAUGUCAGGACUUGACCGUAGCAGCAUUAAGCAGAUCGUAUGAUGUGCCACAAGGUUGCUUUGAAGGAGUUAACUGUUUGUGUUACGCUUGGGUAGUCAUUAUCAGAAUCAGAUGCGCAG